UCCGAUAUGGUGUAACGGCUAACAUUGCCGCCUUUCAACUUGAAAGAUAUCGCGGCAGCUCGGGGUUCGAUUCCCCGUAUCGGAA